AAAAGGUCACAAUUUAGGUGAGACAGUAAGUUACUUUAAGAUCCCCAAAGUUAGAGAGCAGAGCAGAGGAAGGAUAUGUACACACUGACUUUCAAAUACUAAACAUUUUUUUUUGUCUAAUUUUAUAUUUUUUUUUUUUACUUUUACUUUUAUUAUUUUUCAAAUUUAUUUUAUAUAAUAUAUUUUUUUUUAAUUUUAUAAUUUAAUUUUUUUUUUUUUUUUUUUUUAAA